rnacentral:rRNA from 1 species
UACAGGGGGGGCAAGCGUUGUUCGGAAUUACUGGGCGUAAAGGGUCUGUAGGUGGCCAACUAAGUCGGACGUGAAAUCCCUCAGCUUAACUGGGGAACUGCGUCUGAUACUGGAUGGCUUGAGUGCAGGAGAGGAAUGCGGAAUUCCAGGUGUAGCGGUGAAAUGCGUAGAUAUCUGGAGGAACACCGGUGGCGAAGGCGGCAUUCUGGACUGUAACUGACACUGAGAGACGAAAGCCAGGGGAGCAAACGGG